UCUCUGUUUAUAAGAAUGUGCUGUUUCCUA
rnacentral:piRNA from 1 species